GUCUCUCCUUCCCAGUGGCUUGCUGCUGCCCUGGCUGGAUGCCACCCUCUGCCAGGUGGGGGUGGAGGGCUAGUGUCACUGGUCAGCCAUCCUCCUGUGUGUGUCACAUCAAGAGCUCAAGAACUCUUCCAUUCUCCCAGGAUGUUGUAGCUGGAGACUAAGGACAGCUUUGCACUCGUGAGACAACUCUGGGAUCUGACUCCAGGACCACCUGCACACCUAAGAAUGGAUUAAAUUACAACACAGACACAUCCAUACAAAGCGGCUGCUCUUGGAAGAUGUGUGUGCAUAUACCUGUCCUGUCUCUCCUUUGCACCCUUCAUGGUUUCACACCAGCCCUGCAGCUAUAGAGUCUCCAUUGGACUGUGAGCAUCGGGAAAGCUCUCUGGACCAGCAUGUGCACUUCACCUGAUGCUUAUGGAAGACACACAGCACACACAGGAAAACACCUCCUCCAGGAUUGCUCUAGGCCUCAGAGGAAUUGGCCAGAGCUUCGAAGCAGUGCGGGCCUUCCUGACAUUGUGGCAUGACUUCUGCUUGCUGCCUUCUCCCAUAAAACAGUGAUUCCUCCGUAGAAAGCACUCAGCAGUGGAUGCUACGCCUGCAUAUCAGGACCAAGCGUGUCCUCUAGCCUGAAACAACUUGGAAAAUGGCCACUAGCUUUGCA
rnacentral:lncRNA from 1 species